GCGACCCCAGGUCAGGCGGGACUACCCGCUGAAUUUAAGCAUAUCAAUAAGCGGAGGAAAAGAAACUAACAAGGAUUCCCCUAGUAACGGCGAGCGAACCGGGAAGAGCC
rnacentral:rRNA from 1 species